UACGUAGGGGGCAAGCGUUGUCCGGAUUUAUUGGGCGUAAAGAGCGUGUAGGCGGUUUGGUAGGUCCGCUGUGAAAACUCGAGCUCAACCUCGAGACGCCGGUGGAAACCAUCAGACUAGAGUCCGGAAGAGGAGAGUGGAAUUCCUGGUGUAGCGGUGAAAUGCGCAGAUAUCAGGAAGAACACCCGUGGCUAAGGCGGCUCUCUAGUACGGUACUGACGCUGAGACGCGAAAAGCGU
rnacentral:rRNA from 1 species